rnacentral:rRNA from 1 species
GACGAACCGUGCGAACGUUGUUCGGAAUCACUGGGCUUAAAGGGCGCGUAGGCGGGCGUGCCAGUCUAGGGUGAAAUCCCCCGGCUCAACCGGGGAACGGCCUUGGAUACUGCACGCCUCGGGUGGGGUAGGGGCGCGCGGAACGCCGGGUGGAGCGGUGAAAUGCGUUGAUAUCCGGCGGAACUCCGGUGGCGAAAGCGGCGCGCUGGGCCCCGACCGACGCUGAGGCGCGAAAGCCAGGGGAGCAAACGGG